CUCAUAUGAAGUUAUUUUACACUUGAAACGCCAAGAUUUUCUCGAGGUUAUAAUAUUGUUUGUGAUUGGAUAUCUUAAUGAACCUAUUUUUGCUGCCACUCUGUUGUCCAUGGUAACAGACUUGAUUCAAGAUAAACUUACAAACAUUAAGUGUAAAAUGAUUGCACAAAGAAAUCGUACUAAUGAUGAACGGUUACGUUUUGAGAUACAACAGUUACUGAUGUUAAUGGAUAAUCGUCCGCUCCAGUUUGGUAUCUUUCCUAACUUGCCUAUGACGUUGAGGGUUUAUCUCGGCUUUAUGUCUUUUGCUACAAUUAACAUAAUUGCUGUUUUACAAAUCAAAUCAUUUUAUUCUUAAUUGUAUACCAGCGUGUUUUUAAACUAUUAAUUAAUUCUACUUAUGUUGUGAUCUUCAAGCAAUUCUGUAACAUUGUGUGCUAGUUUGUCGUACUUCUUGGUCAGUGGCUUACGCCCCCAGUCAUAGAAGCACCCGUAGCCGAUACCCCCGAUUAGAUUUACCUAAUUAAAAGCUCAUUUUGGGGGCGUCGGCCACAGGUGCUUCGACCGGCGGGGCCGAUGGGAGCCUUCGCUACUGAUUCGUAUUUUAUG